AUAAAUUUAAAAAAUAUUAACACCAUAAAAUAACGCAAGAAACUGAUUGCAAAACUCAUUUAUAAUCCCUUUUAGUAUCUGCGCCCCAGAUUAUUUUGAUGGGCCGCCAGUCUUAGCGACUUUUGCUGUAAAUAUCGAAAAAAUGAUGGCACAACGUUUUACGCAGCGGGAGCUGUGCACUGGGAACUGGCAACGAGGCUCCGCUGUGUGGCACACCUACCCCGGGUGUAGAAUUCCCCUUCCAAUAUAUAUCCCCAUAGCCGCGCACUCCGUAGGCCCUAGGUAUGGCCGCGUGCGUUGCGUGUGAUGUGCGUGAAAUGCAACUAAAUCAUGCCGCGAAAUAUUUCAGGGAUUUAAGAAACGCAUACAAGAGAAAUGAGGCAAGAGCUGAAAACUGAAGGGCAUGCAAUAAGAAUACAAGAACGCGCGCCC